rnacentral:rRNA from 1 species
AACUUCAAUAUUUAUAUUGAAUUGUUAUUUAUUUAAUUGUCAAUUUGUUGAUUAAAUUCAAAAAAUCUUCAAAACUUUCAACAACGGAUCUCUUGGUUCUCGCAUCGAUGAAGAACGCAGC